GACGAACGCUGGCGGCGUGCCUAAUACAUGCAAGUCGAGCGGACCGAACAGGAGCUUGCUCUUGUUCGGUUAGCGGCGGACGGGUGAGUAACACGUGGGUAACCUGCCCGUAAGACCGGGAUAACUCCGGGAAACCGGAGCUAAUACCGGAUAACACCGAAGACCGCAUGGUCUUUGGUUGAAAGGCGGCUUCGGCUGCCCCUUACGGAUGGGCCCGCGGCGCAUUAGCUAGUUGGUGAGGUAACGGUUCACCAAGGCGACGAUGCGUAGCCGGCCUGAGAGGGGGACCGGCCCCACUGGGACCGAGACACGGCCCAGACUCCUACGGGAGGCAGCAGUAGGGAAUCUUCCGCAAUGGACGAAAGUCUGACGGAGCGACGCCGCGUGAGCGAAGAAGGUCUUCGGAUCGUAAAGCUCUGUUGUUAGGGAAGAAGAAGCGUCGUUCGAACAGGGCGGCGCGGUGACGGUACCUAACGAGAAAGCCCCGGCUAACUACGUG
rnacentral:rRNA from 1 species